UAUUUAGCUUGCAUAUUGUGGAACUGUCUUCCCUAGCUAGUUACUGCCAUUUUAUAACACUGCAGCAUAUUGGAUCAAAGACUAGAACUGCCACCUCCUGUUUACAAUGGGCUGGAGCAGUCACAGAAUUGUCAGGGCUACUUUCUGUCUCGGUGUGAUUGGAAAUAAGACUGAAAACGGUACCUUAGCAAGAAGAUGUGCAUAAGCCUCUAAAGUUGGGUUUUCAAGAGACAAAAGAAACACAAACAAGAAACAUGGGUACUCACCAUGUUCUUAUAACACCAGCUAAGUGGGCUUUGACGUAUGCUGAGAUCAGACAGCAAGAUGCCUGCUGCAUGACGGGACCAAGGAUCUUACGAGGAUAUUUGGCAUCUAUAAUAUACCAUCUGUAUGUGAUUUAAGUCACUCUCAAAGGUGCAACCCUUUUACAUACUUCUUCUGUGUUUUUUAUUGAAAGGCUGACUUGUAUGUGCAAGCAUCAGUUUGUGGACUCAGUGAUGACUUAAGGACUAUUGCCUAGAGACUUCUAAGGGGUUUUUGCAGUCUGUACAGGUGCCCUUUUUCCUUCACGGUCUUCUACAUCCAACUAGAAGUGCUUAUAUUUUUACUUCCAGAGGUUUCUGCUUUGAUGCUGGUGGUGACUGUGCAUCCAUCCCCAUCAUGCAUACUAGGUGUGUAAUAUUUAAAGGGAUUAAACUUUGACAAUACUGUUUCCUCAGGUCUCACAAUGCUGUAUGUAAAAUAGAGUAACUAUUAAAAUGAACUAUUUAGUACCUUAUAUGGUCUGGUAUAUUGAAAAAAAAAUAUUUGACACACUGAUAAGUAUAUAUUUUGUAGAACUUUUACAAAACAGGAUCAAAAUUUGCAUUUACAUCUCCCUUACUCUUUUUUUUUUUUUUUUGUGCUUUUGUGAAAGAAAGUAUACAUAUAUUUGCAAGUAUUUGGGACUGAAAAAUACACAAAUUUUUUCAUAAAUAUUUUCUGCUUUCUGCAUUGAGAGAUCCUUAGAUUACUGAAAUCUCUUCAGCAUUUUUCCUAAACUCACCUUCAAAAAUGAAGAGACACAAGACUGCAUUUUGGGUCUGUUAAUAGAACAAGAAACUAUGCCGAUGGAAACUAAUUCAAGAAAAAAACCUGGCGCUCAGAACAUAAAUGGGACUUAGAAAUGCAGCUCCUAAAAUUUCCAGCCUGGUUCAAUAUCAUAA